GUAGGUGGCAAGCGUUGUCCGGAAUUAUUGGGCGUAAAGCGCGCGCAGGCGGUUCUUUAAGUCUGAUGUGAAAGCCCACGGCUCAACCGUGGAGGGUCAUUGGAAACUGGAGAACUUGAGUACAGAAGAGGAAAGCGGAAUUCCACGUGUAGCGGUGAAAUGCGUAGAGAUGUGGAGGAACACCAGUGGCGAAGGCGGCUUUCUGGUCUGUAACUGACGCUGAGGCGCGAAAGCGUGGGGAGCAAACAGGAUUAGAUACCCUGGUAGUCCACGCCGUAAACGAUGAGUGCUAAGUGUUAGGGGGGUUUUCCGCCCCCCUUAGUGCUGCAGCUAACGCAUUAAGCACUCCGCCUGGGAGUACGACCGCAAGGUUG
rnacentral:rRNA from 1 species